rnacentral:rRNA from 1 species
GCACCUGAUGGCGAGUGGCGAACGGGUGAGUAAUGCAUCGGAACGUGCCCAGUCGUGGGGGAUAACGCAGCGAAAGCUGUGCUAAUACCGCAUACGAUCUAUGGAUGAAAGCGGGGGACCUUCGGGCCUCGCGCGAUUGGAGCGGCCGAUGUUAGAUUAGGUAGUUGGUGGGGUAAAGGCUCACCAAGCCGACGAUCUAUAGCUGGUCUGAGAGGACGACCAGCCACACUGGAACUGAGACACGGUCCAGACUCCUACGGGAGGCAGCAGUGGGGAAUUUUGGACAAUGGGCGAAAGCCUGAUCCAGCAAUACCGCGUGCAGGAAGAAGGCCCUCGGGUUGUAAACUGCUUUUGUACGGAACGAAACGGCGCGCUCUAAUAAAGUGUGCUAAUGACGGUACCGUAAGAAUAAGCACCGGCUAACUACGUGCCAGCAGCCGCGGUAAUACGUAGGGUGCAAGCGUUAAUCGGAAUUACUGGGCGUAAAGCGUGCGCAGGCGGUUUUGUAAGACAGGCGUGAAAUCCCCGGGCUUAACCUGGGAAUUGCGCUUGUGACUGCAAGGCUAGAGUACGGUAGAGGGGGGUAGAAUUCCGCGUGUAGCAGUGAAAUGCGUAGAUAUGCGGAGGAACACCGAUGGCGAAGGCAGCCCCCUGGACCUGUACUGACGCUCAUGCACGAAAGCGUGGGGAGCAAACAGGAUUAGAUACCCUGGUAGUCCACGCCCUAAACGAU